AUUGAACGCUGGCGGCAGGCCUAACACAUGCAAGUCGAGCGGAUGAAGAGAGCUUGCUCUCUGAUUCAGCGGCGGACGGGUGAGUAAUGCCUAGGAAUCUGCCUGGUAGUGGGGGACAACGUUUCGAAAGGAACGCUAAUACCGCAUACGUCCUACGGGAGAAAGCAGGGGACCUUCGGGCCUUGCGCUAUCAGAUGAGCCUAGGUCGGAUUAGCUAGUUGGUGAGGUAAUGGCUCACCAAGGCGACGAUCCGUAACUGGUCUGAGAGGAUGAUCAGUCACACUGGAACUGAGACACGGUCCAGACUCCUACGGGAGGCAGCAGUGGGGAAUAUUGGACAAUGGGCGAAAGCCUGAUCCAGCCAUGCCGCGUGUGUGAAGAAGGUCUUCGGAUUGUAAAGCACUUUAAGUUGGGAGGAAGGGCAGUAAGUUAAUACCUUGCUGUUUUGACGUUACCGACAGAAUAAGCACCGGCUAACUUCGUGC
rnacentral:rRNA from 1 species